GCUAGCGGCAGGCCUAAUACAUGCAAGUCGAACGGUAGAUUACUUUCGGGUAAUUGAGAGUGGCGCACGGGUGCGUAACGCGUAUGCAACCUACCCUAUACAGGGGGAUAGCCCGGAGAAAUCUGGAUUAAUACCCCAUAGUACUAUGAUGAGGCAUUUUGUUAUAGUUAAAGAUUCAUCGGUAUAGGAUGGGCAUGCGUCUGAUUAGCUAGUUGGCGGUGUAACGGACCACCAAGGCGACGAUCAGUAGGGGUUCUGAGAGGAAGGUCCCCCACACUGGCACUGAGAUACGGGCCAGACUCCUACGGGAGGCAGCAGUAGGGAAUAUUGGGCAAUGGACGAGAGUCUGACCCAGCCAUGCCGCGUGCAGGAAGACGGCGUUCUGCGUUGUAAACUGCUUUUAUCUGGGAAGAAAAGGCCCAUGCGUGGGACAUUGCCGGUACCAGAUGAAUAAGCACCGGCUAACUCCGUGCCAGCAGCCGCGGUAAUACG
rnacentral:rRNA from 1 species